CAGGUCUUGACAUCCUCUGACAAUCCUAGAGAUAGGACGUCCCCUUCGGGGGCAGAGUGACAGGUGGUGCAUGGUUGUCGUCAGCUCGUGUCGUGAGAUGUUGGGUUAAGUCCCGCAACGAGCGCAACCCUUGAUCUUAGUUGCCAGCAUUCAGUUGGGCACUCUAAGGUGACUGCCGGUGACAAACCGGAGGAAGGUGGGGAUGACGUCAAAUCAUCAUGCCCCUUAUGACCUGGGCUACACACGUGCUACAAUGGACAGAACAAAGGGCAGCGAAACCGCGAGGUUAAGCCAAUCCCACAAAUCUGUUCUCAGUUCGGAUCGCAGUCUGCAACUCGACUGCGUGAAGCUGGAAUCGCUAGUAAUCGCGGAUCAGCAUGCCGCGGUGAAUACGUUCCCGGGCCUUGUACACACCGCCCGUCACACCACGAGAGUUUGUAACACCCGAAGUCGGUGAGGUAAC
rnacentral:rRNA from 1 species